GAUGAACGCUGGCGGCGUGCCUAAUACAUGCAAGUCGAGCGAACGGACGAGAAGCUUGCUUUUCUGAUGUUAGCGGCGGACGGGUGAGUAACACGUGGAUAACCUACCUAUAAGACUGGGAUAACUUCGGGAAACCGGAGCUAAUACCGGAUAAUAUUUUGAACCGCAUGGUUCAUAAGUGAAAGACGGUCUUGCUGUCACUUAUAGAUGGAUCCGCGCUGCAUUAGCUAGUUGGUAAGGUAACGGCUUACCAAGGCAACGAUGCAUAGCCGACCUGAGAGGGUGAUCCGGCACACUGGAACUGAGACACGGUCCAGACUCCUACGGGAGGCAGCAGUAGGGAAUCUUCCGCAAUGGGCGAAAGCCUGACGGAGCAACGCCGCGUGAGUGAUGAAGGUCUUCGGAUCGUAAAACUCUGUUAUUAGGGAAGAACAUAUGUGUAAGUAACUGUGCACAUCUUGACGGUACCUAAUCAGAAAGCCACGGCUAACUACGUG
rnacentral:rRNA from 1 species